GAUAAGGCCGCUGGGGGCGUGGCCUGCGAAGGCGGGGCGCCUGCGCAGACCCGCCGUGCUGCCCACCCCCAUCCCCGCCGCUGUCCCGCGAACCGGCCUCCCGCGAGUCCUCAUGUCCUGCGGACUGCUCCGACUUCUGCCUGGAGAUCUCUGAUGGGCACAGUUCCAACCUAAAGAAACAGGGGGAGCAGACAUGAGAUGCAUUAGGAUCCAGGAGGCCUACAGCAAUGCAAGAACCAAGUGUUCAAAGGAUUAAAAGCUGAGUAGGGACUUGGUCCACUUUGACAAAUCUGAGAAAAAUACGCUUGACUAUAGAAAACAACACGGGUACUGUCCUUAUAAUAAAAACAAGAACAGUAUUAACAUAAAAACUACACUACCCAUACAUAUUUUAUCUUUGUGUUUCUUAAAUCCAUUUUUACCUGGAUCUUUCUAGCGUUGUAUCUUUUGGUAGUUUCUUCCUCUAGAUGCAUGCUGUAGAGCCUUGCACGUAACUUCUUCAUAGCUAGCUCCCUGUUCUUCAGUUGAGAUCUCUCUUGCUGGCAUUCAGAAACAACACCUGAAUAACAUUAUGAGAAUUGCAGAAUUUUAAUACAAAAAUCUUUAUUAUCAAGGACUAUUCCUUUUCUUUCUUAUCCCUUUUCUUCUUUUAUGAGAUAAAUUAAGAAUCUAACAGAAGACUUUAAAUACUUUUAAUACAGACUUUUUUCACAUCGUCAGUUAGCUAUCUUAAAAAAGACUUAUAAAAAUGAAAUGUAUAAAGAAGUACAAAUCCUAGUAUUAGAAUUAAAAGAAUAUAGUUGAGGAUUUCCUUUUUUUUCCUAUUUCUAUAUAUACACCCCCACUUAUCAUCUUAAUAUUUAACGGUUUUCUGUAGUUAAAAGGACACAAUCCUAUCUGCCCACCAGUCUUCCUAACCACUGGUUAACAGAAACUAUGACGGUUUGUUGCGGUUAAGGUAAGCCUGAACCGUAUAAACUGGACAUCCCUGUCACUCACAAUCCACCCCAGGGCUCUAGUAACACCUCAAAGCAUGGCUCUACUUAGCAGUGUACAGUCCAUCUGCCCAAUUAUCCAGAUUCAAACUGCCUUGCCUUGAACUUUACAGUCUCAAGGGAAAGAUGCUCCUGAAAUGUAUUUAAAACUGCACACAUGUAUCAUGUUUCUGUGUAGAAAGUCCAAAGCUUUUAUUGCCUCCAGGGUCCUUCUUACUAUCUUAGCCCUAAGGCUAAUAACUAGCGAUUCAGACCAUUUUCUGAUAAAUAAUUCAGGUAAUUAUCUCACUGAGCUUCUAGUAAAUAUAUAUUUCAAAACCCAAUUGGCAGGCAGCAGGACUCUGUUCUCUUCACAGUGACUACCAUGGUGACUCCUAUGCUUAGCCC